GGGUUGUGAGGUUAAGCGACUAAGCGUACACGGUGGAUGCCCUGGCAGUCAGAGGCGAUGAAGGACGUGCUAAUCUGCGAAAAGCGCCGGCGAGGUGAUAUGAACCCUUGACCCGGCGAUGUCCGAAUGGGGAAACCCAGUGCAAUCCGUUGCACUAUCGUUAACUGAAUACAUAGGUUAACGAGGCGAACCGGGGGAACUGAAACAUCUAAGUACCCCGAGGAAAAGAAAUCAACCGAGAUUCCCCCAGUAGCGGCGAGCGAACGGGGAGCAGCCCGGAGUCUGAAUCAGCUUGUGUGUUAGUGGAACGGUCUGGAAAGUCCGACGGUACAGGGUGAUAGUCCCGUACACGAAAGCACACUUGCUGUGAACUCGAAGAGUAGGGCGGGACACGUGGUAUCCUGUCUGAAUAUGGGGGGACCAUCCUCCAAGGCUAAAUACUCCUGACUGACCGAUAGUGAACCAGUACCGUGAGGGAAAGGCGAAAAGAACCCCGGCGAGGGGAGUGAAAAAGAACCUGAAACCGUGUACGUACAAGCAGUGGGAGCCUCUUUAUGGGGUGACUGCGUACCUUUUGUAUAAUGGGUCAGCGACUUAUAUUCUGUAGCAAGGUUAACCGUAUAGGGGAGCCGAAGGGAAACCGAGUCUUAACUGGGCGUUAAGUUGCAGGGUAUAGACCCGAAACCCGGUGAUCUAGCCAUGGGCAGGUUGAAGGUUGGGUAACACUAACUGGAGGACCGAACCGACUAAUGUUGAAAAAUUAGCGGAUGACCUGUGGCUGGGGGUGAAAGGCCAAUCAAACCGGGAGAUAGCUGGUUCUCCCCGAAAGCUAUUUAGGUAGCGCCUCGUGAACUCAUCUUCGGGGGUAGAGCACUGUUUCGGCUAGGGGGCCAUCCCGGCUUACCAACCCGAUGCAAACUACGAAUACCGAAGAAUGUUAUCACGGGAGACACACGGCGGGUGCUAACGUCCGUCGUGAAGAGGGAAACAACCCAGACCGCCAGCUAAGGUCCCAAAGUCAUGGUUAAGUGGGAAACGAUGUGGGAAGGCACAGACAGCCAGGAUGUUGGCUUAGAAGCAGCCAUCAUUUAAAGAAAGCGUAAUAGCUCACUGGUCGAGUCGGCCUGCGCGGAAGAUGUAACGGGGCUAAACCAUGCACCGAAGCUGCGGCAGCGACACUUAUGUGUUGUUGGGUAGGGGAGCGUUCUGUAAGCCGUUGAAGGUGUGCUGUGAGGCAUGCUGGAGGUAUCAGAAGUGCGAAUGCUGACAUAAGUAACGAUAAAGCGGGUGAAAAGCCCGCUCGCCGGAAGACCAAGGGUUCCUGUCCAACGUUAAUCGGGGCAGGGUGAGUCGACCCCUAAGGCGAGGCCGAAAGGCGUAGUCGAUGGGAAACAGGUUAAUAUUCCUGUACUUGGUGUUACUGCGAAGGGGGGACGGAGAAGGCUAUGUCAGCCGGGCGACGGUUGUCCCGGUUUAAGCAUGUAGGCGGAGGUUCCAGGUAAAUCCGGUACCUUAUUAACGCUGAGGUGUGAUGACGAGGCACUACGGUGCUGAAGUGAUAAAUGCCCUGCUUCCAGGAAAAGCCUCUAAGCAUCAGGUAACACGAAAUCGUACCCCAAACCGACACAGGUGGUCAGGUAGAGAAUACCAAGGCGCUUGAGAGAACUCGGGUGAAGGAACUAGGCAAAAUGGUGCCGUAACUUCGGGAGAAGGCACGCUGAUGUGUAGGUGAAG
rnacentral:rRNA from 1 species